UCUCUCUCUCUGCAGUAACCCAGUGAGCAAAAUAUGGCAGGUUUUGUUAUACUUAAAAUUCUUGUUUUGCUGGUGGAAAAAUGAAGAUACAAAGAGAUGCAAUUAAGUUAAGAAAUUUGAGAUGAAGAGAUGAUUUUGGAUUAUCUGGGACCCGAAAUCCAAUGGCAGGUGUCCUUAUAAGAGAAAGGGAGAAGGAGAUUUGACACAGACCAAAGAAAAUAAAAUAAAACAAGAGGAGAUAUCCAUGUAAAGAAGUGGCAGGAGAUCAGAGUUCUGUAACCACAAACAAGGAAUGCCUGGAGCCAGCGUAAGAUGGAAGAGUCAAGGAAAGGUUCUCCUCUUGAGUCUUCAGAGGAUGUGUGGCCUGCUGACACCUGGAUUUUCCACUUCUGGCCUCCAGAAUGUUCCCAAAUCCAGUCUGAGGCCAUGUUCCUGAGAGGCACUCCAGACUCCUUUUCACCACUAUGUCAGAAGAAAACAACAUUGAAGUCAGCUUCUUGAUGUCUUCCAGCUCUCUACUGUGAUUCUCCCAUUGGAAAUCUUC